CCCACUUAUGAAUAUUAUUGUUUUUAUUUAUUUCUAAUAUGUACACCUCUGUACGAUCUAAUUCUUAACUAUGUACUAUUGAUUUACGACAUGGUGAUUGAUUUCGAUUGCAUGGGAAUUCUGGGGAGAGCAAUGGAAAAGCUAUGGGAAACUUGUAUGUUACCGGCGCCAGCAGCUGAUCAAAGCGGGAACAGAGUCAGAAGGCCGUCGAGGCGCCACCUUCUCCUAUGGAGCAGACAACCUUGGAGUCGUCGCAGACAACCUUCAAGUGUAGCAUCGAAGUUGAUACAAGACAAGGGGGAAGGACCAAAUCAGCCGGCAGAUGUGCCGGCUGCUGUGACUGGCAGUGCUCUGGGCGCGCAAGGGUAGCGCAGUACUCCUGGUCAAGACACUGCAGCACAACCAUGGGCCACGGCCGUAGGCGCAACGAUUGGCUGCACUAUGGCGGACAGGGAUUCUCAAUCGACGAGACGCCGGCGAGCAUUGGCUUGGUGGGGCUGGCGGAGAGUGAUGGGGAUGCCGGAGUGGACGUGAAGACGGACAUUGGUUGUUUAUUUACUGAAUUUGGUUCACUUUUGGAUAAGCCAUGCAUCAGCUAUACAUGUAUGUGUGCUAUAAAUCAGCACUAAAACCAUUGGAAAG